rnacentral:rRNA from 1 species
ACGGAAGGCAGCAGUAGGGAAUCUUCGGCAAUGGGGGCAACCCUGACCGAGCAACGCCGCGUGAGUGAAGAAGGUUUUCGGAUCGUAAAGCUCUGUUGUAAGAGAAGAACGUGUGUGAGAGUGGAAAGUUCACACAGUGACGGUAACUUACCAGAAAGGGACGGCUAACUACGUGCCAGCAGCCGCGGUAAUACGUAGGUCCCGAGCGUUGUCCGGAUUUAUUGGGCGUAAAGCGAGCGCAGGCGGUUUAAUAAGUCUGAAGUUAAAGGCAGUGGCUUAACCAUUGUUCGCUUUGGAAACUGUUAGACUUGAGUGCAGAAGGGGAGAGUGGAAUUCCAUGUGUAGCGGUGAUAUGCGUAGAUAUAUGGAGGAACACCGGUGGCGAAAGCGGCCCUCUGGUCUGUAACUGACGCUGAGGCUCGAAAGCGUGGGGAGCAAACAGGAUUAGAUACCCUGGUA